rnacentral:lncRNA from 10 species
GGUGUGGAACAGAGGCUCCUCCCAAGGCUCUUUCUGCCUCUGGAUGUUGGUGUUGAUGAUGUGAUGUCUGGAGCUGUUGCAACCGCCUUGCUACCAGCUCAGGGCAGAAGCUUCAAGAACAGAAAGGCAAGGCUGAGAGAAUCCCAGGGAAGCAGAGCUACAUGCUGGGAGUUCUGUUCCUGAAGCCUGCCUCACCCAGGGGCUUCUUAUCAUGAAGAGCACAGACCUUUGUUUUGAAACUGUCCACAGCAAGAACAUAUGCAUGUGCGUGGCACAGACCCGACAGAUGGGAAACUCCCUCCUUGCCCUUCUUAUCCUGAUGACCUCUGGCAGCUCCAGGCAACACAGAUAUAAAAUAGCGACCAACAGGGUGGAUGGAUGGACUGAUGGGGUCAAAGCCAGUGGCAUCAUGAACAGGAAACAACUUUUCUCUCAAGCUGCAGGUUUGAAAAGUCAAGCAGACUCUUCCUUGGCUGAUGACUGCUUUCUGACUCAAUGGAAGACCUUGUUCUCUAGCGUCAGGGCUGUCAGAAACUUUGCUUAUGAGUAAGAAGAACAUCCCACUGCUUGGAGGAUCUAGGUCCACCUUAAACCAGAAGCACAGAGCUACAGAGAAGGGGUUUCUAGAAAGAAUCUCCACAUCUGGCUGGACUUUAUGGGUUCUGAGGACACAGGACCUAGGUCCACUUUGCAGACCAGACCAUACCUGACCCUGGCUCCUUUACACGGAGGCCUGCCAUGCUCUGAGUGCAUCAAUCCAGCCUCAAAAUCCCUCCUUCCAAUCCUAUGAUAACUUCUUUUCCUUUGUUUGUCGAGUCAUCUGAGGAUCCUUGAUGUGACUGUAUUCCCUUAUUGCAACAAGCCAAUAUUGAAUGUGUUGACUACAGUACUGAUUUUGGUGGCUGGUUGCACUAGGAUAUGUGUUAUUUUCUGGAUUUUGUAGAUGUUUGUAGUAUAUCUCAGCAUUUUAAAAAAUGAGUAUUUUGCUGUAAUUUGUUUUCUCUUCGUAAAUAAACAUUAACUUUUGUGCUUUCUUUUGUAUUGCUAGUAUUGCUCUAUUUUCCAUGCAGGGAGCCCCUAUAUCACAGGAGCCUCAGGCCUCACAGCAUCUUGAUCCAUCUGUGCUUGUUGUGCCGAGCGUCCACCUGCCCAGGGAAAGGCUGCACUGUCUCACACUUCCCAGGCCUCCG